rnacentral:lncRNA from 1 species
ACCUGGGCAUUUGGUUUAAUUGAUUUAUGGUUUAAUUGUAUUCAAACUUGUCAAACAAGUUUAUUAGAAAACAUAACAGUACCUCAUAUCUUAUAAUUAGACAUUUGCAGUCAGAGUGGGCUUUUAGGAAAGGAUUGAAAUCACACAGAAGACCAGACUUCCUCUUUCCAGAAGAGCAUGGACACCACUGAAAAACUGUGCAUUUAAAAAGGACAAAGUGAAGAACACAUGAAAGUUUCUUUUGGUUAACAGGUCAAAUGGACAGUGAAGAUCGAUGUCACAACUGAGGUAGGUUGUAACAACAGAGGAACUGGUAGGGCUUUUGCUCUAUGAGUGGUAUUAAAGGUAAUUCCUGAAAAUUCAAACUUGAGAAGCCAGGUGAGGUUUACAAAGAGAAGGUUUUAUUUGCUCAGAAAUACAAGGUUGGAAGAUCUCAGGAAGUUCUUUGCAUUUCUGAUGUGUUUUUUAGAUUCCCAACAGAAUGCUGUAGUGGGCGUGUGUGAAGAUGAAGAUCUGAAAGUUUCAGAAAUAUGAACAGAAGAAGAGAGCUGAAUGUUGAUGACGGUACAGCUGAAUUUACUCUAAAUAGUAUCAAGAGAAAAAUUACUGCCAGUUUUUCUUCCAAGUGUCCUGCCUUAUUCAGCAGAGUGAUGGCGAUAAUUUUAGGGUAUUAAACAAGAUGCAAAAAUUUUCUGUCUCAUUCUCUU